CCUGAGAAACCCGAAAGAUCGAAUGGGGAGAUUCAUCGUCAGCGAUCCAGGCGCGCGUGCGGUUCGUGAUGCCACGGGACUUCGGUCUCCGGGGUACACGUCCGUGUGGGUUUUUGCCUGGUGUCGUCGGCGUGCACUUCNCCCCUAGUAGGACGUCGCGACCCGUUGGGUGUCGGUCUACGGCCCGGGUGGUUGCCUGUCAUGCGUACGACGCCUCGCGGCGUUACGUGGCUGACAGACCCCCGGUCUCGCCUGACCAGCUGCCCGGCGGUACUCGCACGGUAUCNAGCCGGCAAAUUCUCUAACUGCGUCCGGCCCGCCGCAAGCGAGGCCAGUGCUUCCCGGAUGUACGGACCUAGCGCCGUCUCCGGGCCUGGCCGGCUGUUGGUUGGCGGUGUCCU
rnacentral:rRNA from 1 species